rnacentral:lncRNA from 1 species
GCAAGACGCAUGCGUCUUUCCUCCAGCUUCGUAAAGCCCGAAAGCGCAGCUGCUGUGACUGCGCGCUAUCGCGGUUUCGUUGCCUUGGUCUCCCCAGACUUAAAGGAUCGGUGUGUUUGGCUAAUGGAAUACGAAGAUAUGUAAAAAUUAGCCCUGAGCUGACUACUGCCAGUCUUCCUCUUUUUCCUGAGGAAGCCUGGCCCUGAGCUAACAUCGUGCCCAUCUUCCUCUACUUUAUAUGUGGGACGCCUAACACAGCAUGGCGUGCCAAGCGGUGCCAUGUCCACACCCGGGAUCCGAACCGGCGAACCCCGGCCGCCAAGAAGCGGAACGUGCAAACUUAACCGCUGCGCCACCGGGCCAGCCCCAGCAAAUACUUUCCUAGUUGAGUUACAGCUCGAGAAAGCUGAGAACACAGCAAGCCUGGCAGACACGUUGAUUGCAGCUUUGUGAGACUCUAAGCAGAAGACCCUGCUAAGCUACACUUGAACAGCUGACACACAGAAACUGCUAAGCUGCUAAGUUUGUGGCAAUUUGUUAUACAGCAAUAGAUAACUGACACAGUUAUCAUCAACCGUGGAUUGUAUUUAGUACACAGAACUGGAUGAAACCACUUAGGAUAUAAUAUCCAACAACUACCAAUCCAACACUGGUUAUAGAUCACUUUUUAGGCUUUUUUUUUUUUAAUCUAACUGCUGCCUGUAAGCCUAAAUCCAAAUUUUCAGGAAAGAAAAUCUUAUUUGACAAGCUUAGGUGAAAUGUCUACCCAUGAACUGAGUAAAUAUAGCCAGGAAGAAUUCAGGGUGCCUGGAAUAAACUGUUGGCAAGGCCUUCCUCUGUGGGGUGGGGAAGAGGAGUGCCGUGAUC